UACGUAGGGUGCAAGCGUUGUCCGGAAUUAUUGGGCGUAAAGAGCUCGUAGGCGGUUUGUCGCGCCGAAUGUGAAAACCCGGGGCUCAACCCCGGGCCUGCAUUCGAUACGGGCAGACUAGAGUUCGGUAGGGGAGUCUGGAAUUCCUGGUGUAGCGGUGAAAUGCGCAGAUAUCAGGAGGAACACCGGUGGCGAAGGCGGGACUCUGGGCCGAUACUGACGCUGAGGAGCGAAAGCGUGGGGAGCAAACAGG
rnacentral:rRNA from 1 species